rnacentral:lncRNA from 1 species
GUUUGCGAUCAGGAUGUCCACUUGGUACCUUGAAGUGAGAAAUGUAUUGCCAGUUGUCCAGGCCAGGAACUUUGGCCUGGUGGUCAUGUCCAUGUAGGAAAUCAAACCUUAAUAAGAAUCGUAGUGAAAGGAAAUCAGAGCAAAUUCUGUAUUCUAAGGGAAUAGUUCCGUGAAGCGAUGGUGAUCUCCUGUAAUGCCCCUCUUCAUGCAAGUAAGGUUUUCUCCACAGAACCAGGCUGGGGGUCUGGAAUCUCAGCACCAUAUCCGACCUGGACCAGAACUGGAGGAAACUUCACACUCUUGCCUUGGGACAGACGCCUUUGUGUGGAUUCCCACCCCUUGUGACACAGUUCUCCUCCGAACACUCGGAACAGGGCCAUUGACUCAGGAGAACUCUUCCAUACCCAGAACUCCGCUGUUAUGGUGCGCUGCGGGCAUCCUCACUGCCAAGGACCGUGCCUGGACCACAGAUGCAUCUUCGCUGCUCAGUGCCUGACACCACCUAGGGUAUGGAGUGCGUCUGGCCUUGACCAGCCAGCCAGUUGAGUUGAGUGAAUGUGUGUGACUUAUGACACAGGGAAAGACUUGAGUUGCUUGAUUAGCUUCCAAAGCAGCUGCUAAAAAGCUAAUAAUUCAGUCUGUCACGGGAUAAAUCUAGUCUAUCACGCUAGACCCCACAGUGACCCUGCAUGCUAAGGGUGACAGGAAGCCUGAGCGUCCAGCCACACAGGGGUUAUUUUCAGUGUGUGGGCAGCACUGUUCCGCCCGCACUGCCCUCGUUUCUAGCUGUGGAAAGACCUGCAGGAGUUGGACCUGAGGCUGGCAUUGGACAGCAGUUACUGAGAACCAGAGACUGACUGCCCAGCUCUGACCCUGGCUGGACUGCAGUCUCGGGGUCUAAAAACUGGUGUUAGCCAAUGCGAGGACCUUGAGAGUUAACGCCCAGGGCUCCAGAGCUGGGCGUGUCUUAAACAUUCAGUAAGUAUUGACUCCUACUUCAUCCUGGCACAGUGGAGAGCACAUUGAGGUUGGGGCUGGUGAGCUAGGCUUUUAAUUCAGGCUCUGGCCCCAUUUCUCCUAUUUCCCUAAACCUGUUGGGUCUUGUGGAAAAUGUGGAAAUACAGAACAAUGUAACCAAUGCUACUUAAACCACCGCAGACUGUCGGUUUUGGAUCCCUAGGGUCUCACAUUUGUAAAUUGCCUUUAUGGUCCACUUUGGACAGAAAGGAGGAAGCCUCAGCUAGUGAACAAACUGCUCUGUGUA